rnacentral:rRNA from 1 species
GUGCAAUGGGGGCAGCUACCAUGCAGUCGUACGAGAAGGUUCCUUCGGGAACUGGAGAGUGGCGCACGGGUGAGUAACGCGUGGGGACCUACCUCUUAGUGGGGGAUAACGGUUGGAAACGACCGCUAAUACCGCAUACGCCCUUCGGGGGAAAGAUUUAUCGCUAAGAGAUGGACCCGCGUUGGAUUAGAUAGUUGGUGAGGUAACGGCUCACCAAGUCAGCGAUCCAUAGCUGGUUUGAGAGGAUGAUCAGCCACACUGGGACUGAGACACGGCCCAGACUCCUACGGGAGGCAGCAGUGGGGAAUAUUGGACAAUGGGCGCAAGCCUGAUCCAGCCAUGCCGCGUGAGUGAAGAAGGCCUUCGGGUUGUAAAGCUCUUUCAGAUGCGAAGAUGAUGACGGUAACAUCAGAAGAAGCCCCGGCUAAUUUCGUGCCAGCAGCCGCGGUAAUACGAAAGGGGCAAGCGUUGUUCGGAUUUACUGGGCGUAAAGGGCACGCAGGCGGUCCUGCCAGUCAGGGGUGAAAGCCCGGGGCUCAACCCCGGAACUGCCUCUGAUACUGCAGGACUAGAGACUAGGAGAGGGUGGUGGAAUUCCCAGUGUAGAGGUGAAAUUCGUAGAUAUUGGGAGGAACACCAGAGGCGAAGGCGGCCACCUGGACUAGAUCUGACGCUCAGGUGCGAAAGCGUGGGGAGCAAACAGGAUUAGAUAUCCGUGGUAGUC